rnacentral:rRNA from 1 species
AACGAACGCUGGCGGCAGGCCUAACACAUGCAAGUCGAGCGCGCCCUUCGGGGUGAUUGGCGGACGGGUGAGUAACGCGUGGGAACUUGCCCUUCUCUGCGGAACAGCCUCGGGAAAGGGGGAGUAAUAUCGCAAACGCCCUUUGGGGGGAAGAUUUUUCGGAGAAGGAUCGGGCCGCGUUGGCUUAGGUAGGUGGUGGGGUAUUGGCCGACCAAGCCGACGAGCCGUAGCUGGUUUGAGAGGAUGAGCAGCCACACUGGGACUGAGGCACGGGCCGGACUCCUACGGGAGGCAGCGGUGGGGAAUCUUAGCCAAUGGGGGCAACUCUGGACUGGCCAUGGCGCGUAAGUGAUGAAGGCCUUAGGGUUGUAAAGCUCUUUCAGCUGGGAAGAUAAUGACGGUACCAGCAGAAGAAGCCCCGGCUAACUCCGUG